rnacentral:rRNA from 1 species
UACAGAGGGUGCGAGCGUUGUUCGGAAUUACUGGGCGUAAAGCGCGCGCAGGCGGCUUUUUAAGUCCGACGGUGAAAUGCCGGGGCUCAACCCCGUGCCCGCCGCGGAUACUGGGGAGCUGGAGACGAGUAGAGGCAAGCGGAAUUCCGGGUGUAGCGGUGGAAUGCGUAGAGAUCCGGAAGGAACACCGGAGGCGAAGGCGGCUUGCUGGGCUCGGUCUGACGCUGAGGCGCGAAAGCGUGGGGAGCGAACAGG